UGCAUCCACCGGGAAUCCAAACCGGGGCGCCCGCAUGGCAGGGGAGCAUUCUACCACUGAACCAAAAGC